rnacentral:rRNA from 1 species
AAGGAAUAUUGGGCAAUGGACGCAAGUCUGACCCAGCCAUGCCGCGUGGAGGAUGAAGGUCCUCUGGAUUGUAAACUUCUUUUAUCUGGGAAGAAAAAAGGGAAUUCUUUCCCGUCUGACGGUACCAGAUGAAUAAGCACCGGCUAACUCCGUGCCAGCAGCCGCGGUAAUACGGAGGGUGCAAGCGUUAUCCGGAUUUACUGGGUUUAAAGGGUGCGUAGGUGGACUGGUAAGUCCGUGGUGAAAUCCCCGAGCUUAACUUGGGAACUGCCAUGGAUACUAUUGGUCUUGAAUUUUCUGGAGGUUAGCGGAAUAUGUCAUGUAGCGGUGAAAUGCUUAGAUAUGACAUAGAACACCGAUUGCGAAGGCAGCUGGCUACAGAAACAUUGACACUGAGGCACGAAAGCGUGGGGAUCAAAC